AUUGAACGCUGGCGGCAGGCCUAACACAUGCAAGUCGAGCGGUAGAGAGGUGCUUGCAUCUCUUGAGAGCGGCGGACGGGUGAGUAAUGCCUAGGAAUCUGCCUAGUGGUGGGGGAUAACGUUCGGAAACGGACGCUAAUACCGCAUACGUCCUACGGGAGAAAGCGGGGGAUCUUCGGACCUCGCGCCAUUAGAUGAGCCUAGGUCGGAUUAGCUAGUUGGUGAGGUAAUGGCUCACCAAGGCGACGAUCCGUAACUGGUCUGAGGA
rnacentral:rRNA from 1 species